rnacentral:lncRNA from 1 species
CCGAAUUUGGAGAGUUGAAUUCUGUCUCUUCUUGUGUUCUUGAGGCCUUUAAAUAGGUGUUGAGAGGCUGCCUAUUUCCUUUUUAGUAUCCAUGAGUCUUUUGGAGACUUCCCAAAGUGCCCUUGUGAGUUAUGUGCCUUCUUUGUGUAUGGGUGAAGGCAAAAACGUGGAGCAUGCAAGUGGGGGCUCUUUAGUCUUUUAAUUGCUGUCCAAGAUCUUCAAGAUACUGCCCAAGGUGUGUCCAAGAGGCUGCCCACGUUUUUGGAGUGUGCCCAUUCACUAAAGAGGAAGGUGGAGCCUUUUAUGGAAACUUGAAUGUGCAUGGCAUAAAGUGAGAAACAUGUGAUCUUGAGAUUUGGCUUCCUUAAUGAGUGGGAUCUUGAAAUCCAAUAUCUGAAUAUGAAUCUUGGAGAUUUGAAUUUCAAAAUACUUUCCUUCUUUGGCUCUUCAAUU